UUCCAUCAGUGCUGGCUUCCAUGAAUAUCACCUUCCAUGAAGUGAAUCAACUCUACAAAAUAAAAUAAGAAAGUUAGAAGAAGAAGAAUAAUAAAACUAGUAGAAGAAUAAAACUAGAAGAAGAAGAAGAAAACUAGAAGAAGAAGAAGAAGGAGGAGGAGGAGGAGAAUGAGAAGAAGGAGGAGAAGGAUAAGAAUGAGGAGAAGGAUAAGGAGGAGGGGACUAGAAGAAGAAGGAUAAGAAGAAGGUGAAGAUGAUUACUUAUGCUAACCAAGGUUCUUGUGCUAUUUUUGACCUAACUAAGCUAAUUAUGUCCUAAAUGAAACAAAUAAGCUAAUUAUGUCAUUUUGGAG
rnacentral:lncRNA from 1 species